rnacentral:rRNA from 1 species
AAGUUCAAAACUGCGUUUAGGCGUAAAAAUUACUCUUUGAAAAAAAGCGUUUAGAGCGUAAAACAGCGUUUAGGCGGAAAAACUGCGUUUUAGAGCGUAAAAUAAGCGUUUAGGCAUAAAACUACGCUUAGGCGAUAAAACUGCGUUUAGGCGAUAAAACUGCGUUUAGGCAUAAAACUGCGUUUAGGCGUAAAACUGCAUUUAGGCGUAAAUCGGCUUUCCUCGUUUUAAUCAUCAGAUUUCAGUUUCGUUUACAUCUUGAUUUCAACUGCAUACUGCGUCUCGCGAUUUUACAAACGAAGUUUCAAAGUCUGCGUUUAGGCGGCAAAUCUGCGUUUAGACGUAAAUCUGCGUUUUUGCAGAUUACUUUUGACUGUACAAUAAAGUGCACACUGUCUUUAUACUUCUGUCUAAACAAGUGAUUUCAUUUCGACAUUAGACGUAAAUCUGUUUCUUCGAUGCGAACAUCGGAUUUCAGUUUUAUGCCAAUAUUCUGGUUUCAUCAUUGCUGCAAACUGCCUGCAUAGAUUGAUUGAAACCUUGCUUAGUAUCAACUCUCAUACAGAGUUGUCCUUAUCAUUCAAACGCAGCUUUUAGGUUUUAAUGUAAAAGUUUUCCGCUGCACUAAUUCACCCCCUCUUAGUGCUCGAUCCUAACCGGUCAUAUGCUUGUCUCAAAGAUUAAGCCAUGCUUGUGUAAGUAUGAACUAUUUGGACUGUGAAACUGCGAAUGGCUCAUUAAAUCAUUUUAUAGUUUGUUUGAUGAAUGCGUUACUUUCGGAUAACCGUGGUAAUUCUAUUAUCGUUUUAACAAACCCCGACUUCGGAAGGGAUGCAUUUAUUAGAUAAAGGCUGAUUGAACCAUCUAGUACUUUUCCCUCCUAAAUUUUCCCUCGGGAUAGCUGGAGCCCACGUCGCGAGUUCUAUCGGUAAAGCCAAUGAUUAGAGGUAUCGGGCGCCCAACACCCUCGACCUAUUCUCAAACUUUAAAUAGGUAGGGGCGGCUAUGCCGUUGAGCGCGUCAUCGAAUCGAAAACUCCAAGUGGGCCAUUUUGGUAAGCAGGCGGCAAUGCGGGAUGAAUGGCGAAGGCCCGUUUGAUUGCCCAACUGCGCCUAACCCGCAGACACCACAAAGUGUUGGUCGAUUAAGACAACAGGGCGGUGGUCAUGGAAGUCGAAAUCCGCUAAGGAGUGUGUAACAACUCACCUACGAAUCAACUAGCCCCGAAAAUGGAUGGCGCUGGGUUGCGACCACACACCGACCAUCGGGGCGGCGCCAAGCCCCGAUUAGUAGGAGGGGCGGUUGCCGCCAAAACCAGAGGAAGCCGAGCUUCGGCGGGCGGCCCGUCGGUGCAGAAUCUUGGUGGUAGUAGCAAAUAUUCAAAUGAGAACUUUGAAGGCGAAGAGGGAAAGGUUCCAUGUGAGCGGCAUUUGCACAUGGGUUAGCCGAUCCUAAGGGGCGAGGGAUGCCCGUCCAGGCGUGUCUCCAGCGUGAGCUCGAAGGAAUCGGGUUAAAAUUCCCGCGGCAGACGCGGCGGCAGAUGGCUGUUAGGAAGUCCGAGCGUCGGCCGGGGCUCCGGGAAGAGUUAUCUUUUUCUGCUUAAUGGCCAGCCCACCUAAAACAACUCAGCCCGGUAGGGUCCAGCGGUCGAAAAGCCCGCCGCGUCGCUGGCGUCCGGUCGCCCGUUGAAAAUACAGGAGGACCCGAGUGCCGCCCGGUGCCGGUCAUACUCAUAACCGCAUCAGGUCUCCAAGGUGAACAGCCUCUGGCCCAUGGAACAAUGUAGGCAAGGGAAGUCGGCAAAAGCGGAUCCGUAACCGGAAAAGGAUUGGCUCGAGGGGCUGGGCGCGGGUCCCGCCCCGAACCAUUCGGCUGUUGGUGGACUGCUUUCGAGCUGCUCUGGGCGAGGCCCGGUCACCAGCGAUGCUGGCGGGAGGCAGCGAGAAUAGCCUCGGGGGCCUUCCCGUGUCAAACAGCUGACUCAGAACUGUUACGGACAAGGGGAAUCGACUGUUUUAAUUAAAACAAAGCAUUGCGAUGGUCCCAUGGAUGCUCAUGCAAUGUGAUUUCUGCCCGCUUUCUGAAUGUCAAAGUGAAGAAAUUCAACCAAAAGCGGGUAAAUGGCGGGAGUAACUAUGACUCUCUUAAAGUAGCCAAAUGCCUCGUCAUCUAAUUAGUGGCCCGCGCAUGAAUGGAUUAACGAGAUUCCCUUUGUCCCCUCUACUAUCUGGCGAAACCACAGCCAAAGGAACGGGCUUGGCGAGAAUCAGCGGGGAAAGAAGACCCUGUUGAGCUUGACUCUAGUCUGACUUUGUGAAAUGACUUGAGAGGUGUAGGAUAAGGGGGAGUUCGGUUCAAGCGGCGGAAGUGAAAUACCACUACUUUUAACGUUAUUUUACUUAUUCCGUGAGUGGGAGGGUCCGGCCCCUCCUUUUGGAUCAAAGGCCAGCCCUAGCGGGCCGAUCCGGCGAAGACAUUGUCGGGUGGGGAGUUUGGCUGGGGUGGCACAUAUGUUAAAAGAUAGCGCAGGUGUCCUAAGAUGAGCUCAAUGAGAACAGAAAUCUGGUGUGGAACAAAAGGGUAAAAGCUCAUUUGAUUCUGAUUUCGGUCGAAUAUGAACCGUGAAAGUGGCCUAUCGAUCCUUUUGACCUUGGAAUUUGAAGCAAGAGGUGUCGAAAAGUUACCCCAGGGAUAACUUGCUUGUGGCAGCCAAAGCGUUCAUAAGCGGCGUUGCUUUUGAUCCUUCGAUGUCGGCUCUUCCUAUCAUUGUGAAGUAGAAUUCACCAAGUGUUGGAUUGUUCACCCACCAAUAGGGGCGUGAGGCUGGUUUUUAGCCCGUCAUGAGACAGGUUAGUUUUACCUACUAAUGAUGGGUGUCGCGAUAAGUAAUUCAACCUAGUAUGAGGAACCGUUGAUUCACACAAUUGGUCAUCGGCGCUUGGUUGAAAAGCCAGAUGGCGAAGCUACCGUGUGUGUCGGAUUAUGACCGAACGCCUCUAAGUCCGAAUCCUAGCUAGCAACCGGCGCUCUCGCCCGUCGUUCACCUCCGACCCACAGUAGGGGCCUUUGGCCCCAUGGGCUCGAUGUCGCCCGGUGU